GACGAACGCUGGCGGCGUGCUUAACACAUGCAAGUCGAACGGACAGGCCCUGCUUUUGUGGGGUGCUCGAGUGGCGAACGGGUGAGUAACACGUGAGUAACCUGCCCUUGACUUUGGGAUAACUUCAGGAAACUGGGGCUAAUACCUGAUAGGAGCUCCUGCUGCAUGGUGGGGGUUGGAAAGUUUCGGCGGUUGGGGAUGGACUCUCCGCUUAUCAGCUUGUUGGUGGGGUAGUGGCUUACCAAGGCUUUGACGGGUAGCCGGCCUGAGAGGGUUACCGGCCACAUUGGGACUGAGAUACGGCCCAGACUGCUACGGGAGGCAGCAGUGGGGAAUAUUGCACAAUGGGCGGAUGCCUGAUGCAGCAACGCCGAGUGCGGGAUGACGGCCUUCGCGUUGUAAACCGCUUUCGCCUGUGACGAAGCGUGAGUGACGGUAAUGGGUAAAGAAGCACCGGCUAACUACGUG
rnacentral:rRNA from 1 species